rnacentral:misc_RNA from 1 species
AACCAUAGAAACCUGCGGAGUACCUGCGGAGGGAUCAUUACCGAGUGUAUUUUUUUACCUCUUUAACCCCCUGUGAACAUACCUUUUUGUUGCUUCGGCGGGAUUGUCCCGGCGCCUUUGGGCCCGGAAUCCACGGCGCCUGCCGGAGGCCUUAAACUCUUGUUUUACCCAUUGUGGUUUUUCUUCUGAGUGGCAUAAUGCAAAUAAUAAAUUAAAACUUUCAACAACGGAUCUCAGAUC